rnacentral:lncRNA from 1 species
CUCAUCCUUACCAGUUCUUCUGUGUGGUGGCCUGGCCCACUGACCUACAUACUUCUUAAUCAUAUCAGAGUUUGAGACAUUCUCCCACAUCUUCCCUGGUGGAAUGCUUACAUGCCUUCCUCUGUCUCAUCUUUAACAGUAACUCUGUGUUGUGUAAGAGGAUUCUCUUGGGUGAGAUCACACACACACACACACACACACACACACACACACACACACACACACACCUCAGAAAGGGAACCCAUAAGAGAUCAAAGUAAUGACUCCACCAAAGUCUAGUUUGAUGAACUAACGCGUUUUAAUCCGAGAUCACUAAGAACGGCAUGGGUAAGGGGUUCCCUACAGGACUAGCUUUAUCACUGAAAGCUCACUGAAAGCUCACCCACCACGGGAGAUGACUCCCAAAGCUCUGUCCCUGCACAGCUUGCAGGCAGAUGGAUAGGUCUGAGAACUCUCCAUGGGGUAAGUAUAGCUGUAUGCUGCUUCUCCAUGUCAUGUUAGAAGUUGGAGAUUUCCUAGAAUUGUGGCUUUUGUUUGCCUCUGAGUCUAAUGAGCCUCCCCUACCUCUUGGAAGCAGUGUUUCUGUUUGAAGGAAACUGCUACACAAUGCUCUGAUCCAUUACUAAUGACUGUCUGGGGUGGAGGAGUUCCACAAUCCACUGGCAAUGCCUUCCAAGGGCAUGGGUAAGGAGUGUGAUGGUGUGAGUAUUUGCUGAGCAGGACAUAUUAGCAUCAUUUCUAGCAUCAUGAUGGUCUAUGGUUCUUCCUGAGGACAUCUCUGGUCUUGGCUGGUCAUGCUCUUGAAAGUGGUAUUGGGAUCUUCGGUUCUUCUAUAUCUUUUCCUUUAUGUCUGUCUGUCUGUCUCUCUCUCUCUCUCUCUCUUUCUCUCUCUCUCUCUCUCAUUCUGUCUCCUUUCCAAACCCCAUGAUAUCAGCAGCUUCAUCCCACCAAAUAUUUCCUGCAAUGAUAUUCCGUUUCAUCACCAGCCACCAAAUGACAGAACCAACUGCCCGGAAACUAUGAGACAGAGAAGCCUUUCCUCCUUGGAAGUUGUUCAACUCAGCCAUCUUGUCAUGCUGCUGAAAGGCUAACAAGGGUGCCUUGCAAGAUCUCAGUAAUAGCUCCAGGAUGAAUCUCUCCAUCCACCAACCACAAGAGUCUGCCUGAUUCUACUUCAGGUUCCUGCUUGAGUUCC